rnacentral:rRNA from 1 species
GAUGAACGCUAGCGGCAGGCUUAAUACAUGCAAGUCGAGGGAGAAUGGGGCUUCGGCCCCAGGGAACCAGCGCACGGGUGCGUAACGCGUACACAACAUGCCUUAUACUGGAGUAUAGCCUCGGGAAACUGGGAGUAAUCCUCCAUAACAUUAUCGGGUGGCAUCACCUGGUAAUUAAAGCUCAGGCGGUAUAAGAUUGGUGUGCGUAUGAUUAGCUAGUUGGUAGGGUAACGGUCUACCAAGGCGACGAUCAUUAGCUGGCGUGAGAGCGCGACCAGCCACACUGGAACUGAGACACGGUCCAGACUCCUACGGGAGGCAGCAGUAGGGAAUAUUGGACAAUGGGCGAAAGCCUGAUCCAGCCAUGCCGCGUGAUGGAUGAAGGCCCUCUGGGUUGUAAACAUCUUUUAUCAGGGAAGAAACACCCCGUUUCUACGGGAUUUGACGGUACCUGAUGAAUAAGCACCGGCUAACUCCGUGCCAGCCGCCGCAGUAA